CACAACAGAUAAUUGAAAGUUCACAAACUUUACUUAAUGUAUUACAACGAGAAUCAUCCGUCUUGAAAGACAAAGGUGUUCCGGCAUUCACCAACCUACAGACAUAACUUCAUUUCACACGUUGUAUUUUAGAGAGUUCUCAGACGUUACUCAAUGUAUUGAAGCGUGAAUCACAAACUCUGGAUCACAAGCCGUCAGCCACGUCUGCUGGUCCCAGCAUGGUAACAGUGUCCAGACGUGAACAACUGACGUAAUGAAGACUGUAACUAUUUGUAUACAAAUGUAAUGUUGUGAGAAUUUUAUAGCCCUAUUGACCACAAGUUAGUUCUCCCACAUUCCCAGUCAGAUGAAGGCAAAUGUGGAUGUGUUUUGUUUAAAAUGCAUCAUUUACUACAACUUUGAUUAUCUAUUUUGUAAAAAUAAUACAUCAAAUUUCUGUGAAACUAUUUUUAAUCUUCGCCAAGUUUAUUUAAGAAAAGCAUUCUUGAAAAUGGACAAUUUAAGAUAUUAUUAUCCAAAGAAAAGUUGUUUAGAAAUGUAUAUAACACAUUGACAAUAUUAUUACAUCAGAAAAUAUCUUUGUACAAAGUUUUGCUCCUUAUUUCAUAGUUUAAUAAAAUGUAUGUACGAUGUUUAUUUAAA